rnacentral:rRNA from 1 species
GACGAACGCUGGCGGCGUGCUUAACACAUGCAAGUCGAACGGAAAGGCCCUGCUUUUGUGGGGUGCUCGAGUGGCGAACGGGUGAGUAACACGUGAGUAACCUGCCCUUGACUUUGGGAUAACUUCAGGAAACUGGGGCUAAUACCGGAUAGGAGCUCCUGCUGCAUGGUGGGGGUUGGAAAGUUUCGGCGGUUGGGGAUGGACUCGCGGCUUAUCAGCUUGUUGGUGGGGUAGUGGCUUACCAAGGCUUUGACGGGUAGCCGGCCUGAGAGGGUGACCGGCCACAUUGGGACUGAGAUACGGCCCAGACUCCUACGGGAGGCAGCAGUGGGGAAUAUUGCACAAUGGGCGGAAGCCUGAUGCAGCAACUCCGCGUGCGGGAUGACGGCCUUCGGGUUGUAAACCGCUUUCGCCUGUGACGAAGCGUGAGUGACGGUAAUGUGUAAAGAAGCACCGGCUAACUACGUG